CCUACGGGAGGCAGCAGUGGGGAAUAUUGCGCAAUGGGCGAAAGCCUGACGCAGCGACGCCGCGUGAGGGAUGAAGGUCUUCGGAUCGUAAACCUCUGUCAGCAGGGAAGAACGGUCACUGUGCUAUUAAGCAGUGAAUUGACGGUACCUGCAAAGGAAGCACCGGCUAACUCCGUGCCAGCAGCCGCGGUAAUACGGAGGGUGCGAGCGUUAAUCGGAAUUACUGGGCGUAAAGCGCUCGUAGGCGGUAUGUUAAGUCAAGGGUGAAAUCCCCGCGCUCAACGUGGGAACUGCCUUUGAAACUGGCAGACUGGAGUGUGGGAGAGGAUAGUGGAAUUCCAGGUGUAGGAGUGAAAUGCGUAGAGAUCUGGAGGAACAUCAGUGGCGAAGGCGACUAUCUGGCACAUAACUGACGCUGAGGUGCGAAAGCGUGGGGAGCAAACAGGAUUAGAUACCCCGGUAGUC
rnacentral:rRNA from 1 species